UCCGGGGUCGUUCAAUUGGCAGGACACCAGAUUUUGGUUCUGGCUAUCCAGGUUCGAGUCCUGGCCCCGGAG
rnacentral:tRNA from 3 species